CGGGUGGGGUGGUUUUUCGUGGGUGCUUUGCAGCUGCAAGAAGGGAACUCUGCAUGGCAGCUCGUCAUGUUUGGCCUACUCAGUGUUUUCGUGGGUGUGUGGAGGCUGAGCCCAGUCGAAUGGGGGUAGCAGCGCGUGUAGCGACUGGUUUGCAGGAGAGGUUAUUUUUCCUGCGAGCCAGCGAGCAUGCGCGCGCCAGCCAUAUGUGCCUGCCCCAUGGUAAAGCGUAUGGCGGUGCUUUCAUUCGCCUUGCUGCAUGAGAGGCUGUGGGCUAGUAGCACGUGGCGGGGCUACAGCAGCACGUAGCACAGGGAUGGUCAAAUGUGGUCCUCUAUUGUUGAACUACAACUCCCAUCAUUCCCAGCCACAACUUGACGACAGCUGGAGAUAGAACCAUGUUGGCCCCCCACUGAUGUAGCAGAACCCUGGGUCAGCACUCGCUCCAGCAGCCCAGAUGUAGACAUGUCCAUGAUCUUGGACAACAGACGUUAAAUAUCAGGAUAUAGACAAAAGGAAGCUGAUCUGGAAAAUGGUGCUUUCUGUAGCUGAGUUUUCUGUGACAUGGUAUGGCUUGAUCUGUGGUAGAAGAUCUUCUGAAUGCUGAUGCUACCUUUAUUUGGCUAAAGAUUACUAGGUAUCAUUCAGCAAAAGGAUUUAUGCAAAAUAAUGAUUUUAUAAAUACAAGUACAUUACAGAACUAUAAUCCCUUUUUAAAUAUGCAUUCAUAUACAAUAAGGCUGUAAGAUUCAAAGAUUUACUGCCGGUGAAUGGAGUAUUAAGAAAGUCACUGUGUGUAUCUAUAAACAGUCUAAAUCUAUUGUUCAAUAAAGUAAGUGGUCUUGGCCCAAGAUAUAUUGUUUUCCCCCUGCAACUUAAAUGCCAAUAUUUUUCCACUUCAGUGUCCAAAUGAUUCCUGCUCUCUUGCCAGAAUAAUAAAGUAAGCUGAAGAGUGAGGACAGCAAAACACACCUCAUCUCUGUCCUUUAAUCUUGGAUAAAUAUGAGCAACAUCCCAAUUUGUUUUUCUACCAAGAGAUUAUGGACUUUUAUGGGAAUAGAAGAGCAGGGAAAUGCAUACAGUAAAAAGUGGAAAAAAUCAGGAGGAAGGACGGAUGGGAUGACCUGAAAGAAUGACUAGAAUUAGGAACAUCAGAAGCUGCCAUAUAUUGAGUCAGACCAUUGGUCCAUCUAGCUCAGUAUUGUCUUCACAGACUGGCAGUGGCUUCUCCAAGGUUGCAGGCAGGAAUCUCUCUCAGUCUUAUCUUGGAGAUGCUGCCAGGGAGGGAACUUGGAACCAAGAUGCUCUUCCCAGAGUGGCUCCAUCCCCUGAGGGGAAUAUCUUGCAGUGCUCACACAUCAAGUCUCCCAUUCAUAUGCAACCAGGGCAGACCCUGCUUAGCUAAGGGGACAAGUCAUGCUUGCUACCACAAGACCAGCUCUCCUCUCCUAAUUGGACACAGAAGAUAUCAUCCAUGAUUCUAGGGACCGUGAUCUAUGGUUUUUGCUGGCCGCCAACCCCCUAAUCAGAGAAGGCACAUGAAGAGAGAGAGAAACAAGUGUACAAACAUUUGGGCUGCAGUCUUGGAAACUGAGUACUUAAACAAAAUGGCUCACAAAAUGUACAAGUGUAUGUGCACUUUUAUCUGAUGUGUGCUGUUGUGCAAAAUAUGGCAAUCAUGGCUACACAAAAUGGUUCUUAAUGAGAUUAAUCUUGUGCAACGGUGACUGCAUUUUUGCACACACAUCAGAAUGCAACAUGCACAAGAGUCAAUGGAAGUCCACCCCUACCAUAUUUUUCAAUGGUUGCCUCACCUGGCUAUCUGUUAACAUAUCCCCCUAGUAGAAUCAAAAUUCUUUGUAUUUUUCUUGCUUUUGUAAACAGUUAAAAACACACAUUAUGUAAUUUUUAAAAUCUAAUUGAAAUUAAUGCAAUGUAUGCAGUCUCUCUGUACCCUUACAUAGGAAGCUGCCUUAUACCGAAUCAGACCAUUGCUUGAUCUAGCUCAGUAAAGUCUACACUGACUGGCAGAGGUUUUCCCAUGUUUCAGGCAGAGUCCCUCCAAACCCUAUCUGGACAUGCUCCCAGAGAGUGAAAUGGGGCCUUCUGCAUACAAAACAGAUGUUCUACCAUUAAGCUAUGGCUCCCACCCCCUAAAGGGAACACCAAUGCUCACAUUGGCCCAUCCAAAUACAAACCUGGGCAGACCCUGUUUAGCAAAAAGGGACAGUUCAUGCUCACUACUGCAAUAGCUGCUCAUGCCAUUUAUCUGUGCACAUCAUAAUGGAGCUGUUCCUGAAAAAUCUAGAACCAACCCAAGACAGGAGACGCCAUUACUUCUCUGUUCUUAAUCUAUUCAAAAAUGGAAGGGCUGAAACCAGAAACCUCUUUAGUGUUGCUCAGAAUUGAUAUGCUGACUCUGGGGCUAGAAAACUCAAAUCAUGUUUUUUUACAGCUUACACACAAUUACAACUCCAGUACACUUUGAUGUAAGACUAUAAAGAUAUGUAUUUUGCAUGGCAAAAUGUUGAACAAGACAACGUACAGUCCAUUGAAAAUGCCACCCACAUAAGCUUCAUUGAACAGAAUGGCCAUCGGCUGUACAUGGCUGCAUGAUUUUUGCUGACACCACAGGAAAAUAAGUUCCACUGAAAUAAAAAAUGACUUUUAUUUUGUAUGUAUGUGAAAAGCAAUGGAAAUAAAGAACAAAGCUGUAUGCCUAA